ACGGCCCGAUCACGUUGAAACACCGGUCCCCGUACGAUCACCGAAAGUUAAGGCAACGUCGAGCCUGGUUAGUACCUAGAUGAGUGACCGCCUUGGAAUAUCAGGUGCUGUA